rnacentral:rRNA from 1 species
UGGUGGAAAGUGGCGCACGGGUGAGUGAGACGCGUAGGCAAUCUACCCUCAGCAGGGGGACAACCAGUGGAAACGCUGGCUAAUACCCCAUAAUGUCCCGACAGCGCAUGCUUUCGGGAUCAAAGUUCAGGCGGCUGAGGACGAGCCUGCGUUAGAUUAGCUAGUUGGUGGGGUAAAUGCCCACCAAGGCGACGAUCUAUAGCGGGUCUGAGAGGAUGAUCCGCCACACUGGCACUGAGACACGGGCCAGACUCCUACGGGAGGCAGCAGUGAGGAAUAUUGCGCAAUGGACGAAAGUCUGACGCAGCCACGCCGCGUGCAGGAAGACACCCCUCUGGGGCGUAAACUGCUUUUAUAUGGGAAGAACACCCUGCUCUGCAGGGCCUGACGGUACCAUACGAAUAAGGACCGGCUAACUCCGUGCCAGCAGCCGCGGUAAUACGGAGGGUCCAAGCGUUGUCCGGAAUCACUGGGUGUAAAGGGUGCGCAGGCGGGCUUGUAAGUCAGAGGUGAAAUCCCCCGGCCUAACCGGGGAACUGCCUUUGAUACUGCAAGUCUUGAGUCUUGGAAGGGUUGCCAGAAUUCGUGGUGUAGCGGUGAAAUGCGUAGAUAUCACGAGGAAUACCAGAGGCGUAGGCGGGCAACUGGACAAGUACUGACGCUGAGGCACGAAAGCGUGGGGAGCGAACAGGAUUAGA